UCUGGUGGCCAUAGCAGAGUGGAAAUACCCGUUCCCAUCCCGAACACGGCAGUAAAACGCUCUCACGCCGAUGGUACUGCAGCUUGUCUGCGGGAGAGUAGGUCGCUGCCAGAU
rnacentral:rRNA from 1 species